ACGCAUUGACUCCGCUUUGCUUGGAGUGCAUGCAUCCAAUCGCAGCGGCGAUGUCAGUACGGUCGUCUACCCACUGCUCUGCAAUAAAUUGCUCAAAUCGUUAAUGUAACAGGCCUGAUCUCUCUUUCUUCAAAUUUCCGAAAAACAAAGAAAGAAAAUAACAAUGGAAGAGGAAAUCCACCAGGGGAUUCUGAUGGGCAUGUGUCGCCUCUGUGGACAAACAGGAUCAAGGAAGUAUCGUGACAAGCAAAACCUUUCUAACUUGAUCCAAGCGGCUCUGUCCAUAAACAUUGCUGUAGAUGAGGACAAUCGUCACCCACCCAUGGUGUGUGAUAGCUGUACAUCAAAACUGACAAGGUGGAGAGCCUUUAAGAACAAAAAUGUAAAAAGGAACUGAACAUAACCAUCUUUAAUUUCCAACAGCACGGUCAAGAUUGUGACAUGUGUACAGAUUCAAAGAAGAAUGUUGUAGAAGGAUCAUGGCUAACAUUCAUGAUAGAUUUGGCAGAGCAAAAAGGAUACUAUGUCAAAAAUGGUCGUGAUGGAAGAACACUUAUCAUGUCUGUUGAUGAUGAUGGGAAUACAUCAGUAUGUGUGAUUGUUUGUGAAACUGGACAGUGGACAGUUAAAGUGCAUGGGAGAGAAGUUAACAGGGAUCUGUUUCCUGGAAUCCCUCGGCAUUUUGGUAGCAAAGAUGAUUGUGAGCAAUUUCUUCACACCCUUGAUUCUCUCCAAAUAUGUUAUGGUAACCCUGAGUACUUCUCGCCUUCCCUACCGCUUCAAAACCAUCCCUUAUACCCCCACUACUCCUCAUCCACAACAACAAUUAGACACACAACCUGUCCCCUCCUCACAAAGGAUUCUUCAAGAUGCUUUAAAUGCAGAAUUCAUCGUUCCAGUCUUGCAAAACACUACCAACGCCACCAAGUUGACUCCUCUCCAGCUCCAAAAGCAAAUCAUCGCUUCAUGUCAGAAAAGAGGCUUGCUGAAAAGCUUGAAACCUCGAAAAAUCAACGACGAAUCAUGGCACGAAGAAUUGCCAAAUUAGAGAACGACAUUGAAAUAUUGUUGAAAGAACAAGCCUUACCUUUAGACUACAGUAUGUCUCGCCUCUCUGGUGUUAAUUAAGAAUUAUAGUUUUGUAUUGUAUUUUGAUUAUUCUGAAUGUAAUGCAAAGUCAGUAUGAUGUAAAUUGCAUGAUGUAAUACGUCUGGUAUUGAGGAAAUUAAGCACCUUAUCUUUUCGGAGACAUCUUUCCACCUACUUUAUAUGUAAAUGACGUGGGCUGAAUCCCACCCCCCCCUCGUUUUUCCAUUUAUUUUACUUGUCUUCCUAAGUUCCUUUUAUAUAAUGUAUACACUUGCUUGUUAACGAUUAUAGCUGCCUUAAGCUUUUAGAGGAUUUGUGCAUGUACGCACAUCUGUAUGAUAUUAUUUUUAUUAAUACAUCCUCUUCAUUUUUAUGAACACAUUGAUGAUUUUAUUUCUUCAAAGAUUUGUCUUUUUUCAUUAUAAUGCUUAAACACUUGAACUUCAUUUUAGUAUGUAAAAAAGUUACAUGAUACUGUAUCAUUUUGUUGUAUAUAUGUAAAUACAAAACAAGCAAGUUUUACA
rnacentral:lncRNA from 1 species